rnacentral:misc_RNA from 1 species
UGCAAGGGAAUAGAUUACUUCU